UCAACACCACUUUUGUGUAGGGAGAAGAAAAGCACAUUUUGAAAAAUUCUCCAAAUUGCUUUUCAGGGCUUUUAUGGUUGACAAAGACACCAAAUUAAUGAAUGCUCUGCAUGGUGUCUUCCCUCAGUCCAGUAUUUUGCUAUGCUGGUUCCAUGUGCUACAGGCAGUUCACCGAUGGAUAACAAAGAGAUUCUGAAAUAAGUGGAGCUGAACAGAAAGAUGAAAGGGAUAAAGUGAUGGCUUUUGAUGUUCUGACUGAAGCAUUGCAGUAUAUUGCAAAAAUCUGGACGAGCGCUACGAAGGAGAUGGAAGAAAAAAGAAAAGUUGAG